GAGGAUUUCACCUUAAGAUCGAAAGGGUCGACACAGGGAACGGAAUUUGUAGGGUUGGUGGUUUUUUUUUUUUGGUUAAACUUCACGUGCCGUUUUAUUUAUUACCGCGGCAGGAUGGUUUUUAGUCAAUGCCUUCGUCCUCCUGCCUGGCUCCCUCCAAGAGGGCUCAAGCCAUCGCUGCGUGCUGCCUGGGCGCCUGGUUCCAGGCCGACACAGGUACCGAAAGCGCCGCAACCGCCCUGGCUCUGCCUGGGAAUCACCAGAGGUUUAAACCUUCAGUUACCAACGUGCAGCUUCUUAAACGUUAAUCACUUACAGAGAGAUGAAGUCAUGUGAAAGAAAGGCUGUUUUUUUCACAAACACGGAGUGUUUACGUGCUUAUCUCCAGAUGAUGAUGCCCCCUGCAAUGAGGAAGCUCAGCACCCGAGGUGGUAUGAAGCCACAUGAGGAGCAAAGAGCCAGGCCACUGCAGCAGCCAUCCUGCAUAUUCAUCCUUCUGUCCUUGGCCUUAAAAAAUGAAGGAAAAAACAGCAAAACCACACGUCUGCAAGGAAUCCUCAUUGCUUAACGUAGAUAAAAGGGUUCAAAGUUCCCCCUUCUCCCCCCAGCCAGCGGGAAGCAGCUCAGUAACCACGCCAGGAACUUCAACUGCUCCUCUGGCAGAAGAAACGCUCCCAAGUACCAACGGCAAGGAAAGCCUGUAAUCCAGCCUGGGCUGCAGCACAGCCCGUCACUGAUCAAAGGGCUCCCGCAUUUUCUUUCGGUGUUUUUUGUCCUCUGUCUGGCCGCCUCUCUCCUCCAGCUCCGCGGGCUGGGAAGGGCAACGUGAGCGCUCAGCGCCGCUGCUCUCCUCCCAGCGCCCGCUCCGGGCUUGUCCUCUCUUGUCCGGGCGGUGUGUGCAGCCAGCGAGGCUGGAUGCGAGCUGUGCUCAUGCGCUCUUAAAAGCAAAAUACGGAUCGACCGGGACGGGGUUUAGCUGAGGGAGUUGUUAGAAAGCUGGGGUUUCGCUCAGCACCCACGCAGUCAGCGCGUCGCGCAGGGGGAUGGCUUGCUGCCUAAGCUAGGAGGGCCCGAGGGAGGUGGAGUUGGUUAGGCUGGCGUGGUUAGGAAGGGAUUCAAGGAACAAAAAAAUCGAGAUAAGCACUCACACGAUUCACACCUGGGAUUUUUGUCUGAGCUUGUUCUUGGAUUAAACUGAGCAAGCAGGGUCAUCCUUUGGACUUACUUGGUCCUGUGCCCUUCUCUGACGUUUUCACGAGUUAACUUUCUUCUGCUUUAGCGCGAGCCAGUAGCCUUUCUCUCUGGAUCUCUGGAUGACAGUAAUUUAACGAUGGUUAAACCCAGUGAGGUUUUAUAACUAUUUUAGCUGGCUUGUAGUCGAGUUCCUUGGUUUCAAUGGAAGGUUUAAGCUAUUGGUCCUUUGUUUUUGUUAAAUCUCUUGGGAAUCGGGCAAAUGCAGGACUGUGCUGUAGCUGGCUGAGCCAGGCAAUGCAACUCUUUUUUUUUUUUCCUUACAAAGACAUUUUGCAGUCUUUACCCAGACAAACUUCAAACUCUUAGAAGUGUAAAAGGCAGAAAUACCCAUCGUCGAGCCAGCAACAAAAGGUUAGCGCACUGCAAUUAUUCAUGUAACCACACUGUACCUCAUUUUUCCUUACUCUUAACUACUUCAUUUGGCCAGACAGUAGGAUCUGCAAAAAUGACGUGGGCCCUUGUCCUGAGGCGCAGGAACACGUCAGGGUACCCCGAGGCUGGAGACUGCAGAAGUCUGGGAUGCUGAAUCUUAUCAAGUGGGAAUUCUCCCCUCGCCCAGACCCCAGGCGCUCGCCUGGCCUUUCUCGGGCUCCGUGGCAGGGGCCACCUCGUUACGUGCAUUGCUGGCGUGUUUGCCUGGCUAUUUUUGUGCUCCUCGCUUACUGUACGUGCAGCUGCAGCCAAGUGCUGCGUCUCUAUCAGGGACAGCUGAGAUUUUCCAUAACCUUUGACUAAGAAAUAGCCGCAUCUUUAAUCGUGGCCCCUCUGCACAACAGGUAGCACAUGAGAUUACAUAAAUAUUACUGUAUUAAACACGUUUUUGGCACGUCGCUUGCUUCGGUGUUGCGCUCCUUUCCAAUAGUGGCUGUGAAGAAGAGGGAAUAAAUGGCACAUUCAUACCA
ensembl:lncRNA